rnacentral:lncRNA from 1 species
AUGGGGAUCUCAGGAAGAUCCACAAAGCUGCCUCCCGGGGCCAAGCCUGGAAGCCGGAGAGGAUGAUGAAGAAGACGACAAUGGACCUGAACAUAAGAGAUGCGAAGAAGAGUGACAGGCUCUGCAAUGCCAGAGGGAGGCUUGUGCAAAUAUUCUCAUAGAUUCUGGUGCUGAUCCAAAUAUUGUAGAUGUGUAUGGCAACACAUUAUGCUGUUAACAGUGAGAAUUUGUCAGUGGUGGCAAAAUUGCUGUCCUGUGGUGCAGACAUCGAAGUGAAGAACAAGGUAG